UACGUAGGGGGCGAGCGUUGUCCGGAGUUACUGGGCGUAAAGCGCACGCAGGCGGUCUGCUAAGUUUGGAGUGACAGUUGGUGGCUUAACUGCCAAAGUGCUUCGAAAACUGACAGACUUGAGGGCUUCAGAGGGACACGGAAUUCCGGGUGGAGUGGUGAAAUGCGUAGAGAUCCGGAGGAACACCAAAGGCGAAGGCAGUGUCCUGGGGAGUACCUGAC
rnacentral:rRNA from 1 species